AUUUGAGAAGGCACACACAGACUGAUAUUCAUUUCCAUCUCAUCAUGGCGAUCUGGAAUGACGGAAACGAAGACCUGCUCAUCACCUUGAUCCAGGAGAGGCCAGCUCUGUACGACAUCACAGAGAAAAGGUACUCGAACCGAGUAGUGAAAACCGGACUCUGGCGAGAGAUUGAAACGCAACUUGGUUUCUCGGGUAAGAUUAUCUUUUUCAUCAAUUGAGCUCUUUAGCAGAUACUGUUGGCUUUGUAUUGCUUGCCAGCGUACAGUGACGUUAACGUGAAAUGUAAUUUGUUAUUUCAACCUUGUGUUUUGUUGUUAUCUUGUUGCUAGCUGUUGCUAGCUGUGCAGUUUGGCACUGCAUAUAGAUAUUAAUUGGACAUGCUAACUAGCCACAAUGCUUACAUCGUUUAUUUGUGUGCUUCAGAGAAAGAGCUGAGGAAGAAUUGGGAUUAUAUGCGAACCCAGUACACCCGGUACAGGAGACUUGCCCCUUCGGGUAGUUGUGGUCCAGUGGAGCACAAAGGACUGGCAGACAGCAGUGGAUCAUAACCAGGCUGCAGUUUUUAGAGCCCUACACAAGAAGGAAGGAGAGUACUUCGAACCUCACCAUCAUGGAACUGCAGAAUCAACCCCCGGUGGCACCAGCAGUGAAACCUCGACCAGCACCACCGAGGAGUCCUUCGGUAAGUUCACUCCCCUGGCAGAAUCCACCAUCUGCACCACACCGGCACCGCUCGGAAAGAGGCCAAGCACACUCAGCACUCGAAGGCCUCCGGCGAAGCGCAGGAUGAUGAUACUAAAUGAGACUGUCUACUGCUGUUCAUUGUUCAAGAUUGAAAUGUAAAUGUGCAAGCUGUUUUUCUGCCCCUCUAUUCACAUGUAGCCUUUCAUACGUGAUGGUUUCUUCAUUCUCGAACUGUUGUGGAGCAGAACUAUACAGUUGCAGGAUUAGUCUCAAGUACCUCAAUAUAAUUAUAGUAUGUCUGCACUUUAUGUGCUCAUUUCAUAAUUCAUUCAUGUAUUUUAUAUUCUACUAAAACUGAAUCAAACCAUAAACAAGGUGGCCUUGUUUGCUCUUGCUGCUUGUUUUACACUGAUUGUAUAUCUUAUUUCUUACUGAUGUAAAGCACUUUGAACUGCAAUCCCCUGUAUGAAAGGUGCGAUACAAAUAAAGUUAUUAUUAUUCAGA